rnacentral:tRNA from 1 species
UCCCUGGCGGUUCAGCGGUUAGGACUCCAAGCUCUCACUACUGAGAGUCCAGGUUCAAUCCCUGGCCAGGGAA